GACGUACUGCGCGAACGUUAUUCGGAAUCACUGGGCUUAAAGGGUGCGCAGGCGGCUCUCCAAGCCCGUGGUGAAAGGCUCCGGCCCAACCGGGGACGUGCUUCGGGGACUGGAGAGCUCGGGCGAGCUAGGGGUCUGUGGAACUCCCGGUGGAGCGGUGAAAUGUGUUGAGAUCGGGAGGAACGCCGGUGGCGAAAGCGACAGACUGGGGCUUGGCCGACGCUCAUGCACGAAAGCCAGGGGAGCGAAC
rnacentral:rRNA from 1 species